rnacentral:rRNA from 1 species
CAAGACCGGUGCCAGCCGCCGCGGUAACACCGGCAGCUCUAGUGGUAGCCAUUUUUAUUGGGCCUAAAGCGUUCGUAGCCGGUUUGAUAAGUCUCUGGUGAAAUCCUAUAGCUUAACUGUGGGACUUGCUGGAGAUACUAUUAGACUUGAGGUCGGGAGAGGUUAGCGGUACUCCCAGGGUAGGGGUGAAAUCCUGUAAUCCUGGGAGGACCACCUGUGGCGAAGGCGGCUAACUGGAACGAACCUGACGGUGAGGGACGAAAGCCAGGGGCGCGAACCGGAUUAGAUACCCCUGUAGUC